ACACUUCCACAUCGCUGUUCAUCAUGGAAGGAGUCAGGGCAGGAACUCAAGCAGGGCAGGAACCUGGGGGCAGGAGGUGAUGCAGAGGCCAUGGAGGGUGCUGCUUGCGGGCUAGCUCCACAUGGCUUGCUCAGCCUGCUUUCUUAUAGAACCAGGACUCAGCCCAGGAUGGCCCCACCCACAGUGGGCUGGGCCCUCUCCCACUGACCACUAAUUGAGAAAAUGCCCUACAGCUGGACCUCAUGGAGGCAUUUCAUAAACUGAGGCUCCUUCCUCUUUGAUGACUCUACAUUGUGUCAAUGUUGACACAAAGCCAGCCAGUACACUCAGUUUAUUCAGUUGAAAAUACAUACAUACAUUCAUACAUACAUACAUUCAUACAUAUAUUCAUACAUACAUACAUACAUACAUUCAUACAUACAUACAUAUAUUCAUACAUUCAUACAUACAUACAUUCAUUCAUAUACUCAUUCAUACAUACAUUCAUACAUACAUAUAUUCAUACAUUCAUACAUACAUGCAUAUAUUCAUACAUACAUACAUAUAUUCAUACAUUCAUACAUAAAGGCAGAAAUCCAGCUGGUCAUGCAUCUUACCAUCUCAGAGCCAGAUGCCUCCCACAGACUCCAGGAAGAAGACUGUAUUGGGAACCCAUGUGUGGGAUUCGUCUAGCAUGCCUGUUUGUCUGGCUGUGUACUGUUUGUCUCAUGUUCUGUAUGAGGGUCGCUGGGCAUCCACUUCCAUAGCGAGUGUCUGCAACCAUCAAAGAAGGAUCAGAAGAAAGUUAGCAGA
rnacentral:lncRNA from 1 species